CUUGGGAGCCGAAAGAGUCGGCUCUUUUUAGUGAGCUGAGCCCAAAGUGUCGGUUCUCUAAAAAGAGCCAGAAUUCCCAUCACUAGACCAUACUGCCAUCGUUUUCGCUUUCCCUGCCUAAAAAUAUGCAGUGGCUACUUCAAUUUCAGGUGGACCCUCUAAACCGCAGAUCUGAGGACACUUCCACUCACAGGACAACUAAGUCAGUACUUGUCACACUGCUCCCAGAGUCAGUAGAAAAAGAGCAAAUACGUUGGCUGAUUUAUUCAGGUUGGAUUUCUAUCAGUUGGCCUUUAUUGGAGAAGCAGGAUUUAAUACUGGUGCAUUAAGCAAAGAAUUUUUGACUGGUAAAGCUAUGUAGUUUGUACUGACAGUUCAGAUACUGAAUACAGCCAAAUCAAAUUCAUAUACAGUUUGUCUGUUUUCAUAAAUUUCCCAGCAUUAUGUAGUGUAUGACACAUGUUAAACAUUUCUUUGUGUCUUACAGAACUGCAGCAGAAGUGUUUUCAGUCAGCCUUGCACAGGAAGGUCCAUCACCAUGAGCUGUAUUUGCAAAGUUUCCUGAUGAAAGAAACUUUCCAGGAUUCACCUUUUCAAUUAGAAGGCUAUAUUCUACAUCGUCUUUGGCGAGCCGAAGAGCAUCAGAGUUGUGAAAAUGCGGAUUGUGUUUGUGCGUGUAUAGUUAUCUACUUUUAAAAACUUCAAAUAAUUUAUUAUUUUUGUCCUGUGUGUAUAUUUUUUUGACUGCAGCUAGUUCAGAUUGCUGCUGCACGUCUUUCAACUGGCACUCGUAGAUGCGAGCAUAUCACCCCAGUUUUAUAUUCACUUCAUUGGCUGCCCGUGCAUUUUAGGAUCCAUUUUAAGCUGCUUUUAUUUGUUUUUAAAUGUUUGUCAAAUGCUGCCCCUCUGUACCUCUCUGAGCUUCUUCAUCCAUACAUACCUUCCCGGUCCCUCAGGUCGGCAGACCAGCUCCUCCUGAGCGUGCCCAGGACAAAUUAUAAGCUCAGAGGGGAUCGGGCGUUUGCUGUGGCAGCACCAAAAUUGUGGAAUGAGUUGCCUUUACAUGUUAGACAGGCACCUUCCUUAUCUGUUUUUAAAUCAUGUCUUAAAACAUAUUUACCUUGGCUUUCAGCACAGCAGGACUUGUUGAUGUCUUUUAAUGUGUUUCUUAUAAAUUAUAUUAUUUUUAAUAUUAAGAUAUUCUAAAUGUAAUUUAAACUGUUUUCUCUUUGUUUUAUAUUUGUAGCACUUUGUUGGAUGUAAAGUGCGUUAUAAAUAAAGAUGCUAUGCUAUGCUAUAUGAUUAUAAAUGGAACUGGCAGACAACUUAACAGUGUUCACUGUGGAGUUGUCUUGGCAGGCGGUCAGCGCGCAGGACCAGAUGAGGCAGGACCAGACAGCUGACCUCUGGCUCGAACUGAGCGGAUGCUUCCCAUGCACUGACCUCUGGAAUGGUGUGGUGGUCGCCUCCCUCUCACGUGGUCGAGGAACGCCGGUGUUGGCCAGGAACCGACCCGAGCUGCCAGACUUACUAUCAAGCUGCAUCUGGCGCUCUGAACCGGAUGCUUGUGUAUGACACUCUUUUGCAGCUUUUCAGCCAUAAACCCACGGACGACAACAACCUUUUAUGCAGGGAGGCGUGAUGAGCUGAUGGAGCUCCGGUGUGUCUCGGCCUCCCCUGCACAGCUGUGCCCAAGCCACACACCGCCACACCAACGCAUGCAAAAGAAAAUACUACAUUCACCUUCUUCCAAGACUUUUUACAGAACCUUGAAGACUCAGGUUUGUACUGUCCGCCAGUUAAAGUUACUGUCAGGAGACCUGGGUCGUCGACACAGAGUUUUGAGUUUACAUUAUUAUUGAACUUUGCUUUAGAUAUUAUUUAUCUUUUCUAAUCUUUUGGUUUCUUUGAGUUCUGCUUUCUGGGUUCUGUCUGUGUUCCUUAGUUGCUCUGUCUCCCUGUCUGCUGUAUCCCCUUGUCAAGUCUAGGUCUCCGUGUUUUAUUUCCUGUUUUACUUUUGAAGUCUGUGUCUCAGGUGUCUGGUUUUGCUUCCCCUGUCUCGUUAGCCCUGAUUUGCCCCAGCCUUGUUUUCCUUCUGUCUCUCAUUCCCUGAUUCCUCCCUCUGUGUAUUUAAGCCCUGUGUUUUCCUUUGUCUGUGUCGCGAUCUACCGUCUACCGUGCUGUGUGUUCUGCAUGUCAGCCUGGUUUUUUUUUUGUUUUGUAGUUUUCAUUCAUUAAUUUCAUUAAGUUGCAGUUAGAAGAUAAAACGUCAUAGAAGCCCAUUUGAGAAGUCCUAAGGUUUUAGCCCUUAAAGUUAAGCUUUUACUUUUUAUUUCAAAAGUGUAUGACCACUGCCAUCCUCUUUGCUUUCUCUAUCUUAGUUUGGUAUGGACAUCUGUUAGAAAAAAAACUCCUUAAAAUACAGCUUUAACGUAAACGUUGUUUCGGGUCACUGAAAACAAAGAUUUUUUUAAAACCCAGUUUUUGCGUUUACAUGUGGAUGAGGAAAACUGAGAUCUAGUCACGCAACGUCAAAGGUGUGUGCCAUGGUAUUGUUCACAUGAGAUAAAUUUCUACAAUGGUGGAUAGAGACGAAAUACUGUUGCUGUUAAUCUUACUCUCUGCAGUGUUUGCAUGCUUACACAGUUACUGUCCCUCCGUUUAGAAAGACGGAGGCGUCAGAGUGAACUUCAGAUGUGGCUUCUACAUUCAGCACAGACACUCUCACAACCCAAAUCCCAACGGCAACUUCAUCUUCGGUUUUGAAUAAAUUUAAUAUUUUUUUUAACAUUAAAUUCAUGCUGUAUGCAUUUUGUCCAUUUCGAAGUUGAGUCUACACCAGCCAUAUCUCAGAGCGCUAUGAAUCUGGCCAAGCGAGCCAGUGAGACAAAAUCCAAAAUACUGUCUUUAGUUAUUUACAUUUAAAAUGAUGAAGGCACUUGAAAAGUAACACAAAAUUAGCUGCCUUUCCAGAAAAACACAAAAACUUUUCAGAAGUACUUUAGGUUUUGUGUGACACAAAACCCUGUUUACUCUUUUCCUCCCAGGCUUCUAGAUUUGUGAUUGUCCAACAUAUCUACACGGUUAGGAUUUGGCAUGUUCUUGACAGCGUUUGACUUCGAUUUCAUGUGGACAGAGAUAUUUUUAAUUUUAAACUGCACGUGUGGAUGGGAUUUUUUUUUUUUUUUUUUUUUCAGAAAUACCUGUGUAUGUUUGAAUGUAGCCUUAAGGUAUGCAGAAAUCCAGUCUGUUUUGUUACAUUUUUUCCCCCCUUUCCUUUUGAAACAAAAGAUCUGUGAUUUUAUUUUAAAGAUGUUAAUUUUAGUUCCUGAAUAAUAAAUGACUUGAAUUGUG